GGCGAUCACAGCGUUAAAACCCCAGUUCUCCUACGAUCACAGAAAUUAAGCAAUGUCUAGCCUGGUCAGUACUAGAUGGGUGACCGCUUGGGAAUACCGGGUGCUGUAA